GGGCGAUUAGCUCACUUGGUAGAGCGCUCGCUUCGCAUGCGAGAGGUACAGGGUUCGAUUCCCUGAUCGUCCA